CGGACGGGUGAGUAAUACAUAAGUAACCUGCCCUAGACAGGGGGAUAACUAUUGGAAACGAUAGCUAAGACCGCAUAGGUACGGACACUGCAUGGUGACCGUAUUAAAAGUGCCUCAAAGCACUGGUAGAGGAUGGACUUAUGGCGCAUUAGCUGGUUGGCGGGGUAACGGCCCACCAAGGCGACGAUGCGUAGCCGACCUGGGAGGGUGACCGGCCACACUGGGACUGAGACACGGCCCAGACUCCUACGGGAGGCAGCAUG
rnacentral:rRNA from 1 species